rnacentral:rRNA from 1 species
GACGAACGCUGGCGGCGUGCCUAAUACAUGCAAGUCGAACGCAGUGGGGACGGGUGAGUAACACGUGGCUAACCUCCCAUCAGAGGGGAUAACACUUGGAAACAGGUGCUAACCCCUUACUGAUGGAUGGACCCGCGGUGCUUUAGCUAGUUGGUGGGGUAACGGCUCACCAAGGCGACGAUGCAUAGCCGACCGGAGAGGUGGAUCGGCAACACUGGGAAGGAGACACGGCCCAGACUCCUACGGGAGGCAGCAGUAGGGAAUCUUCGGCAAUGGACGAAAGUCUGACCGAGCAACGCCGCGGGAGUGAAGAAGGUUUUCGGAUCGUAAAACUCUGUUGUUAGAGAAGCGGUAUCUAACCAGAAAGCCACGGCUAACUACGUGCCAGCAGCCGCGGUAAUAC